rnacentral:tRNA from 1 species
CGGGGUGUGGCUCAGCUUGGUAGAGCGUUCGCUUCGGGAGCGAAAGGUCGCAGGUUCAAAUCCUGCUACCCCGACCA